AGAUUGAACGCUGGCGGCAUGCCUAACACAUGCAAGUCGAACGGGAGUAGCAAUACUCUAGUGGCGGACGGGUGAGGAAUACGUAGGAAUUUGCCCUUAAGUGGGGGAUAACCCGGGGAAACCCGGAUUAAUACCGCAUGACCUCGAAAGAGCAAAGUGGGGGAUCGCAAGACCUCACGCUUUUGGAGAAGCCUACGUCGGAUUAGCUAGUUGGUGAGGUAAUGGCUCACCAAGGCGACGAUCCGUAACUGGUCUGAGAGGAUGAGUCAGUCACACCGGAACUGAGACACGGUCCGGACUCCUACGGGAGGCAGCAGUGGGAAUAUUGGACAUGGGCGCAAGCCUGAUCCAGCAAUGCGCGUGUGUGAAGAGCCGUUCGGGUUGUAAGCUACUUAAGGUUAGGAAAGAAAAACUCGACUACGUAACAC
rnacentral:rRNA from 1 species